UCACUGUGCAGAUCCCGCCGCCCUCUCAGACGACCACCACCAAACCCACAACGCCAUCCACACCCGCUGUCUCCAACGUCCUCAUCAACCCAUCUCUGAUUGGCUCCAAGAACAUCCUCAUUACGACCAACAUGGUGUCACAGAACUCCGGCGGAGAGUCGCUGAAGAGGAAGCAUGAAGACGACGACGACUACGACGCUUUAUGACGCUGAAUGCGAUGUCGCCACUUUUGUACUGACCUUUAAAAUAAUCUCAGCAGAGACUGUAGGAGGAACACGACGCCUGCUCACAGCGGGACUGAAGCUGGACGGUGGGUUCAAAGCUGCAGGGGAAGGAAAAGCGAUUCUCAAUAAAAUGAAUAAAAGAUG